rnacentral:rRNA from 1 species
AACGAACGCUGGCGGCAUGCCUAACACAUGCAAGUCGAACGAGACCUUCGGGUCUAGUGGCGCACGGGUGCGUAACGCGUGGGAACCUGCCCUUAGGUUCGGAAUAACUCCCCGAAAGGGGUGCUAAUACCGGAUAAUGUCUUCGGACCAAAGAUUUAUCGCCUUUGGAUGGGCCCGCGUUGGUUUAGCUAGUUGGUAGGGUAAAAGCCUACCAAGGCGACGAUCCAUAGCUGGUCUGAGAGGAUGAGCAGCCACACUGGGACUGAGACACGGCCCAGACUCCUACGGGAGGCAGCAGUGGGGAAUAUUGGAAAACGGGCGAAAGCCUGAACCAGCAAUGCCGCGUGAGUGAUGAAGGCCUUAGGGUUGUAAAGCUCUUUUACCCGGGAUGAUAAUGACAGUACCGGGAGAAUAAGCUCCGGCUAACUCCGUG